rnacentral:RNase_P_RNA from 1 species
GAAGUAUCUCAUCCAGUCGCUGUCAACACGUCGAUGGAGGAAAGUCCGGGCUCCGCAGGGCAGGGUGCAGGAGAGAAGCCUGUGGGUGCGAACCCAAGGAAAGUGCCACAGAAAAAAAACCGCCCGGCGCAAACCCGGGCAAGGGUGAAAAGGCGAGGUAAGAGCUCACCGGACGCGCGGCGACGUGCGUGCCUGGCAAACCCCACCCGGAGCAAGGUCGAAUAGGGGAGGACGAGGUUGCCCGCUGACUCCCGGGUACGACCGCUCAGAUAAAUGACUGGACACGACAGAACCCGGCUUACGAGAUGCUUCCACA